AUCAUUCAAGUUUCUGACCUAUCAGCUUUAGACGGGAGGGUAUUGGCCUACCGUGGCAAUGACGGGUAACGGGGAAUUAGGGUUCGAUUCCGGAGAGGGAGCCU
rnacentral:rRNA from 1 species